rnacentral:rRNA from 1 species
AUUGAACGCUGGCGGCAGGCCUAACACAUGCAAGUCGAACGGUAACAGGAAGAAGCUUGCUUCUUUGCUGACGAGUGGCGGACGGGUGAGUAAUGUCUGGGAAACUGCCUGAUGGAGGGGGAUAACUACUGGAAACGGUAGCUAAUACCGCAUAACGUCGCAGGACCAAAGAGGGGGACCUUCGGGCCUCUUGCCAUCGGAUGUGCCCAGAUGGGAUUAGCUAGUAGGUGGGGUAACGGCUCACCUAGGCGACGAUCCCUAGCUGGUCUGAGAGGAUGACCAGCCACACUGGAACUGAGACACGGUCCAGACUCCUACGGGAGGCAGCAGUGGGGAAUAUUGCACAAUGGGCGCAAGCCUGAUGCAGCCAUGCCGCGUGUAUGAAGAAGGCCUUCGGGUUGUAAAGUACUUUCAGCGGGGAGGAAGGGAGUAAAGUUAAUACCUUUGCUCAUUGACGUUACCCGCAGAAGAAGCACCGGCUAACUCCGU